rnacentral:rRNA from 1 species
CAAUAGCGUAUAUUAAAGUUGUUGCAGUUAAAAAGCUCGUAGUUGGAUUUCUGGUUGAAGCGACCGGUCGGGCGUUGAUUCGUCUGCACUGGAGUCGGUUUUGGCCAUCCUCUAGGAAGGUGCGUCUGGUAUUAAGUUAUCGGGCGUAUGAUCCUGGUCUUUUACUGUGAAAAAAUUAGAGUGUUUAAAGCAGGCCUUCGCCUUGAAUACAUUAGCAUGGAAUAAUAAGAUAGGACUUUGGUCUAUUUUGUUGGUUUGCAGACCGAAGUAAUGAUUAAUAGGGAUAGUUGGGGGUAUUUAUAUUCCGAUGUCAGAGGUGAAAUUCUUAGAUUUUCGGAAGAUAAACUUAUGCGAAAGCAUUUACCAAGGAUGUUUNCAUUAA